GUUGACCUCGGAUCAGGUAGGGAUACCCGCUGAACUUACAACAGGGAUUACCUCAGUAACGGCGAGUGAAGCGGUAACAGCUCAAAUUUGAAAGCUAGCUCUUCUAGGGUUCGCAUUGUAAUUUGUAGAAGAUGCUUCGGGUGUGGCCCCGGUCUAAGUUCCUUGGAACAGGACGUCAUAGAGGGUGAGGAUCCCGUAUGUGACUGGGUGCUUUCGCUCAUGUGAAGCUCUUUCGACGAGUCGAGUUGUUUGGGAAUGCAGCUCAAAAUGGGUGGUAAAUUUCAUCUAAAGCUAAAUAUUGGCCAGAGACCGAUAGCGCACAAGUAGAGUGAUCGAAAGAUGAAAAGCACUUUGGAAAGAGAGUUAAACAGUACGUGAAAUUGUUGAAAGGGAAGCGCUUGCAACCAGACUUGCGCGCUGAUGAUCAUCCGGGCUUCUGUCCGGUGCACUCGUCUGCGCUCAGGCCAGCAUCGGUUUCGGUGGUGGGAUAAAGGCCUUGGGAAUGUAGCUUCUUUCGGGGAGUGUUAUAGCCCUCGGUGCAAUGCCGCCUACCGGGACCGAGGACCGCGCUUCGGCUAGGAUGCUGGCGUAAUGGUUGUAAGCGA
rnacentral:rRNA from 1 species